AUAUUUCUCCACUACACAGAUGUGAAAAAUGUCAUUGAGGAAAUUGGUCGAACACCUUAAGUCCCGCCAUCGAGUGCACAACACGCUCUCUUCAUUUCACUCAUUCUUCUCUUCAAUUUCCACCACUUCCCUGCAAACUGCGAAACCCAACAACAAACAAGAGGAACAAGAUCCUCACUCUCUGCUGAGACAAGACCCAAUAGAGAUAUGCACCUCACUGUGGGUCAAAACCUUCUCUUCCCCAAAACACACUUCAUUCCCCAACCUCACUGGUUUUCUCUCCAACUUCGAUCUCUGGGUCUUCGCCUACCAGCGCUCUUGCGCCCACGCCACUGGCACCUUCCCUCCACGCAACGCCAUUCACUCCAACCAUCUACGUGACCUUCUCUCUCUUCGUAACGCCGUUAUUCGCGGCCGUUUCGCCUGGAACGACAACACCCGCCAAUUCAUUCGCGCCCCGAACGACAAGAAAACCCUAUCGAAACGCAAACUCGAAUCCGGCGAGCCAUGUUUUCAAGACAGGGUCAUUCAGGAGGUUCUGUUGAUGAUUCUGGAGCCGGUUUUCGAACCCCGGUUUUCCCCCAAAUCGCACGCGUUCCGACCCGGUCGAAGCGCACACACGGUUAUUCGAACCAUCAGGAGUAACUUCGCUGGUUACUUGUGGUUUUUGAAGGGGGAUUUGAGUGAGAUUUUCGACAGCGUGGAUAGAAAUGUUGUGAUGGGUUGUGUUGAGAAGGGUACGAGGGAUAAGAAAGUUCUGGGCUUGAUCAAAUCUGCACUGGUGGGGCGUGUGUCGCGCAAUGAAGACUGUGAUGUUGAGAAGUUGAAGAAGGAUAAGAAGAGGAAAGCUACGAAGAAGAGGCUUCUCAAUGAGAAUGAACCGAAACCUGAUCCGUAUUGGUUGAGAACAUUCUUCAGUUUCGCUCCAGAGGAGGCUGCUAAGGUACCAUCUUAUGGCCAUUGUGGGAUUUUAAGUCCAUUGCUUGCUAAUGUUUGCCUUAACGAAUUGGAUCAUGUGAUGGAGGAAAUGAUUGUUGAGUAUUUCAGGCCUUGUAAGUUUGAUUCCAUAUGGAAGUACUCAAUUGAUGAUGGCUCUCAUAAUCCUGCAUGGCCAGAGUUUGUUCCAUCUAGUGGGAAGGAAAAAACUAGGAAGAUGGAUUACUUAAGAUAUGGGGGUCAUUUCCUGAUUGGGAUCCGGGGGCCAAGGGAGGAUGCAGUGGAAAUAAGGAAGAAAAUUGUUAAUUUUUGUGAGAGUAAGUUUGGGUUAAGGUUGGAUAAUUCCAAGUUGGAGAUUGAACAUAUUACAAGGGGAAUCCAAUUCUUGGACCAUAUAAUAUGCCGAAGGGUGAUACACCCAACCUUGCGUUACACGGGUUCUGGAGGUAACAUUGUGAGUGAAAAGGGUGUGGGAACUUUGCUUUCAGUUACUGCUAGCUUACAACAAUGCAUUCGCCAGUUUAGGCGGCUUGAGCUUGUGAAGGGUGAUAAGGACCCCGAGCCACUUCCCUGUAAUCCUAUGUUGUAUUCAGGUCAAGCUCAUACCAACUCCCAAAUGAAUAAAUUCCUUGAGACCAUGGCUGAUUGGUAUAGAUAUGCUGAUAAUCGCAAAAAAGUUGUUGGCUUUUGUGCAUAUGUCAUUCGUAGCUCUUUGGCUAAAUUGUAUGCUGCUAGGUAUAGGCUAAAGUCCCGUGCCAAAGUGUAUGGAAUAGCUUCACGAAAUCUCAGUCGUCCUCUGAGAGAGAGCAGUAACAAUUCGGCACCUGAAUAUUCAGAUCUUUUGAGGAUGGGGCUCGUUGAUGCAAUUGAAGGUGUUCAGUUUUCGCAUAUGUCUUUAAUUCCAUCUUGUGAUUAUACUCCAUUCCCAAGAAAUUGGAUCCCAGAUCAUGAGAGGGUGUUGCAUGAGUAUAUAAAACUUGAAAAUCCCAAAUUUUUUAUUGACUUGCUAAGAUCCAUUAAGCAGAAAGGUUUAAGUCUUUCUCAAGAUGAAAUAUCUCAAAUGGUAUGGGACUACAAAACUCUUGGGGUUCGAAAUUUUCGAUCUGAUGAAGAUAAAGAAGUGAAAACUGAUUUAAAGGAGAUAACUGGGUAAGUUUGGCAAUGACCUAAAAUUAGUGGAGUCUUCUAUUAUCAAGGUUCUGCUUCAAAGUUGGCAAUCUCAGAGAAAAAUUAAUGUGUCCAUUGGAAGGGUGCAGCUCGGAUGGGGGUGUUGUAAUUAACUACUGACAAUAUAGAUGACGGCAACAGGUUUACCUACAGAUUUAAAUUACUUAAAAAGGAAAAUUGAUGAAAUAUUCAAGAGGAAUUUUUUGCACGGGAGGUAUUAGGAGGUCGAGGGUCUCCUUUGGAAUAAAGAGAGGUAAUUUCAUCUACUUGUACUUUUUAAUUGCUGCAGGCUGGAAUAUUUGUUGGAUCUGUGGUUGAUAAACUUUUCUAAUUGCUGAAAUUCAUGUACGUUGGGAUUCUCUCCUCUGCAUCAAAAUAUAGUAUUUGGUAGUAUAUUUUAUCUAACUUCAUAACAAAUCGUCGCAUUUGUGUAGUCAUGAUACUGCUUUUCUGUGUUUCUUUUAUUUGGGUUUGUAUAACAGUUGUAGACCAACAGUCAUCUCGUUGUGCUUGUCUAGCACUGGAAUGUGUGACAGUAUCGCAGUUUAGUUUACCUACAAACUUGAGGGAUACAAAAGUUUGUCGGGCAUUAGUAAGACAUAAUUAUCUCCUAAACGUAUCCCAGAGUAAAAGGUAGGUCAUAGGUGAGCAUUUGGUGCCGGAUUUUAGCUUUCUAUUUUUGAAAUUUAUGUAGUGUCAAUUAUUUAGAUUAAUCAAUUAUUUAGUAUAUAUGGUGAUCUUCUUACGCUUAACGCAUGCUGGUAUUCUUGCGUCUGCUUAUACUGUUUCCUGAGUGAGACUAAUGCGAUGAAUUUCUUUAAAAUUCACGCAAGUUAUGAGGUAGUCUAAAUAGUAAAUACUUCAUUAGAAGCUAGGCGAGUUGUAGAAAUAUCGAUACUU